UACGUAGGGGGCAAGCGUUGUCCGGAUUUAUUGGGCGUAAAGAGCGUGUAGGCGGCUUUGCAAGUCCGUUGUGAAAACUCGAGGCUCAACCUCGAGACGCCGGUGGAAACUGCAAAGCUAGAGUCCGGAAGAGGAGAGUGGAAUUCCUGGUGUAGCGGUGAAAUGCGCAGAUAUCAGGAAGAACACCCGUGGCGAAGGCGGCUCCCUGGGACGGGACUGACGCUGAGACGCGAAAGCGUGGGGAGCGAACAGG
rnacentral:rRNA from 1 species